AGUGGACGAGACGACGCGCCUUUGGUGGGUAGUAGUACACAAUAAUACACGAAAGCAGCAGUGGCGAUCUACCUCUUCCUUCUUCCUUCUUCUACUCCUCUCACCCGUUUUCCAUGCUUCCCCCGAUUACCGUCCAUUGAAAUCUCCUCCUUCCGCUUCUCUCGUUCUCGGUGAGCUAAGACUAGGGUGAUGGAUCGGAGCAGGGCUCUGAGGGCUUUGAUGCUGCUGUGGCUCAUCCCCGGACUGACGUACGCCGGCGACAUCGUGCACGAGGACGACAAGGCCCCGAAGUUGCCGGGAUGCUCCAAUCACUUCAUUUUGGUAAAAGUGCAAACUUGGAUUAACAAUGAAGAAGAUAGUGAGUUUGUUGGAGUUGGUGCUCGAUUUGGCACAACUAUACAGACUAAGGAGAAAUGCGCAAGCCGGACUCCCCUCUCUCUUUCGGAUCCGUCUGAUUGCUGCACUGCACCUAAGGAAAAGAUUGCUGGAGACAUUCUUUUGGUGCAUCGUGGAAGGUGCAAAUUUACAACAAAGGCAAAGGUUGCUGAAGCUGCUGGUGCUUCUGCUUUGUUGAUCAUAAAUAACCAACUAUACAAGAUGGUUUGUGAACGAAAUGAGACGGAUUUAGAUAUAAAUAUACCUGCAGUUAUGCUACCACAUGACGCAGGUGUAAGUCUGGAGAGAAGUCUUAAGAGUGGCGCUUCACUUUCUGUGCAGUUGUACUCCCCAGAUCGUCCUCUUGUAGACACAGCAGAGGUUUUUCUGUGGCUUAUGGCAGUUGGAACCAUCUUAUGUGCUUCAUAUUGGUCAGCAUGGAGUGCUAGAGAAGCAUCUAUUGAGCAAGAAAAGUUGUUAAAAGAUGCACCAGAUGAGUUUCUCAAGAUGGAAACCACUGGUUCUGGCAGUGUGGUGGACAUCAACACAACAUCAGCAAUUUUGUUCGUUGUGAUUGCUUCUUGUUUCUUGAUCUUACUAUACAAACUCAUGUCAUUCUGGUUUGUGGAGCUUUUGGUGGUUCUAUUUGCCAUUGGUGGAGUGGAGGGCCUACAAACUUGCUUGGUGGCUAUGUUAUCACGUUGGCUCAAACAUGCUGGAGAAACUUUCAUCAAAGUGCCCUUCUUUGGAGCUGUCUCGUAUCUUACACUGGCCGUCUCUCCAUUUUGUGUUGCUUUUGCCGUCCUUUGGGCUGUGUACCGACGCGUAUCCUUUGCCUGGAUUGGCCAAGAUGUCCUGGGCAUUGCGUUGAUUAUUACAGUUCUCCAAAUUGUCCGAGUACCCAAUCUUAAGGUGGGCAUGGUUCUCCUUAGUUACGUCGCCUUCCUGUACGAUAUCUUUUGGGUUUUUGUAUCAAAAAGGUGGUUUCAUGAAAGCGUAAUGAUUGUGUCGUUCGAGGGGAUAGGACCGCAGAGGAUGGUGUUCCUAUGCUUCUUAAGAUCCCACGCAUGUUUGAUCCCUGGGGUGGAUACAACAUUAUAGGUUUUGGUGAUAUCCUUCUUCCUGGGCUGUUAAUUGCCUUUUCAUUAAGGUGGUCAUAUCAACCCGGCGGUGACCUUCGGGUUGUUCCUGGCGAGGAAGCUUUCCCUCACCAGGGCUCUGUUCUACAUGGUGAUGUAGUGCCUGGGUGCCAUCUGCGGGGCUGGUGUGGUCAAGGGGUUCCAAAAGGGGCUCUAUGAGAACAACGCCCUGGUGCUCGACCGUGGGCAUUCAGGGUAUCGCCUGGGCCUUUGGCGGCAUGAUCUUUGCCCUGGUCUACUGCACCGCUGGGAUCUCAGGUGGUCAUAUCAACCCGGCGGUGACCUUCGGGUUGUUCCUGGCGAGGAAGCUUUCCCUCACCAGGGCUCUGUUCUACAUGGUGAUGCAGUGCCUGGGUGCCAUCUGCGGGGCUGGUGUGGUCAAGGGGUUCCAAAAGGGGCUCUAUGAGAACAACGCCCUGGUGCUCGACCGUGGGCAUUCAGGGUAUCGCCUGGGCCUUUGGCGGCAUGAUCUUUGCCCUGGUCUACUGCACCGCUGGGAUCUCAGGUGAACCACCCGAUCCCUGUGUCAAGAGCUUGGCUUCGGUUCGCAGCGGUAACCGAGUUUUGUGUGACCCGUGUCAGGUGGUCAUAUCAACCCGGCGGUGACCUUCGGGUUGUUCCUGGCGAGGAAGCUUUCCCUCACCAGGGCUCUGUUCUACAUGGUGAUGCAGUGCUUGGGUGCCAUCUGCGGGGCUGGUGUGGUCAAGGGGUUCCAAAAGGGGCUCUAUGAGAACAACGCCCUGGUGCUCGACCGUGGGCAUUCAGGGUAUCGCCUGGGCCUUUGGCGGCAUGAUCUUUGCCCUGGUCUACUGCACCGCUGGGAUCUCAGGUGGUCAUAUCAACCCGGCGGUGACCUUCGGGUUGUUCCUGGCGAGGAAGCUUUCCCUCACCAGGGCUCUGUUCUACAUGGUGAUGCAGUGCCUGGGUGCCAUCUGCGGGGCUGGUGUGGUCAAGGGGUUCCAAAAGGGGCUCUAUGAGAACAACGCCCUGGUGCUCGACCGUGGGCAUUCAGGGUAUCGCCUGGGCCUUUGGCGGCAUGAUCUUUGCCCUGGUCUACUGCACCGCUGGGAUCUCAGUGCCUGGGUGCCAUCUGCGGGGCUGGUGUGGUCAAGGGGUUCCAAAAGGGGCUCUAUGAGAACAACGGUGGUGGGGCAAACGUGGUGGCUCCUGGCUACACCAAGGGUGAUGGCUUGGGUGCUGAGAUCGUGGUCACC